GAAACCAGGUUCUGCCAGUUGGUGCCCGAAGCCGACCCAUUGCCCACACCCUUCCCGGAAGUCUUAUGGGAGGUUGGAUGUCAGAAGUGAUGCAGGGUGUCCUGUCUUCCUUGGCUCCUUCCACACUCAGGGCCUAUAAGAGAGCCAUCUCCAAACUGUUUGAAUUUUUGGUGCAUCAGGCCUCCAGGCUCAAUGGACUAUUGAUUCUAACAUUGACCUCCAGUUUUUGGUCUGGUUUAAACAUGCUGGUAUUGCCCCCAGGACCAUGUCAGUUCAUCUGGCGGGUGUUUCUUUCUUUUCUAAGGAUGGUGGGUUUGCUGAUCCCUGUUCCUCCUUCCUUGUUCAGAGGACCCUGGAGGGUUGGAGAUCUCACCAAGUUCAAGAGGAUGCCAGGUGUCCUAUUUGUUUUCAGCUUCUUACUAUGAUUUGUGAUCAGCUCCCACACGUGUGUUCCUCUGAUUUUGAGUACUGUUUGUCCAAUGUUGCCUUUCUCAUUGCCUUCUUUGAGGCUUUGCGGGUGGGAGAGUUGGUUUUCUCCUCAAAAAGAGAUGUGUCUAUGAGGUCUCUCCAAUGUGGAGAUAUGUCUUUUGUUAAACAUUCUGUUUUCCUAGUCAUCUGCAGGUCCAAGUGUGACCAGAUCGGUCGUGAUUCGACCAUCAUUUUGAGGUGGCUCUGUGGCUCCCACAUGUGCCCAGUUUUAACCCUGCACAAAAUUAUGGCGAUUCGCCCUUCUAUCAAUGGUUCAUUGUUCAUCCACAGUGAUGGAUUCCCGUUGACACAAUUCCAGUUUGUGUCCAUGCUGCAUUUGGCUGUACAUCACUUGGGUCUUCCUCCGGGAGAAUUUGGAGGCCAUUCUUUCUGUAUUGGCACAGCAACUUCAGCAUCACAAUCUGGACUGCCUGAUAAACCCAACAAAAAACUGGGCAGGUAGAAGAUGAGAGCCUUUGCCGGCUAUGUUCAUCCACACAAGGACUCCUGUGUGGACUUUAAUUUUAUAUAGGGUUGGCAGAAGGCAUUCCUGCCUGGAACGGCCUUUUGUGGCAGUAGCAUAGGUCAUGGAUCUGGUGGGCUGUGUAGCACUGGACUGGGAGUCCUUCGGAACCCUGGAGUGUUGAGGGCAUGUGGUGUGACCAUUGUGGGGGCCACAUCGGGACAGCUCCUCCCGAUGACUAGGGGCUUAACUAUAUCAUGCAAUCGGCGAGUUGCAUGUCUGCAAGAGUGCAUUUUCCAUAGCCCCUAGGUCAUCCCGAAGCCUGGCCAUGACCAGGCAUCCCAGUUCAUCAAACAACCAGGGGAUUGAUCGAUGUUCCAGAUCCAGACCUCAUGCUUUGGGCCAACCCUACCUUUGUUGCUGUUUGUUUAAUAAAGUUGUGGCCUUUCCUCCAUUUCCAGGUCCUGGUCUUCUGUUGCAACCUCUCUCCACAGCAACUAGAAUAUUGCCUUCAAUCUGCUUGCAAUGUAAUGAGAACAGAAGACAAAAAAUAUUGCAAUAAAAGUCAACGAAAAUUUUGGAAUAGGCUGGAAUUAAAACGAUUAAACUGGAAUUAGCUACUGCUACUGCAGAGAAUUAUCACAAACGGAAAUAAUGAAAAAUAGAGAAUCACGAACAACAGUUAUUAAUAUUGGAGGACUGUGGAAUUCUGUGAGCCUACGAGUGAGAUGAUAAAGAUCAGGGGAUUUGUAGAAGGCAUAAUGAACAGUCUGAUGAGUCACUGUACGAAUGUAGAUUUUGAAAUAUUAAACAGCAAAGUGAAGACUAGUCAAGAAAAUGCCUCUGUAUUUUCAGAUUCAAACACAUUUAUGUUUUUUUGUAUUUAACUAGAAUUAAUACAUUUCAGCUCCUGGACUACACACAUAAUUCUAGGCUGCAAAAAUCCAGUGAUGCUCACAGUCUCUUACAGGAUGUAAUUUUGCUGCAAAUCAUAGCAAGAGAAUUAUUGUUGACUUCACUUCUGAGAGGUAUCACAAGCUAUAUAAAAUAGGUGCAAGUGUGGGAAGGUAACAGCUUGUGCUGGAGUCUCUAAUUGGACUCUAAAAGUGAUGAUGAAGUGUGGAUGCUUACAUUUAGAAGCUCACACAGCUGAAAUGAAUUAGGCUUUUCCUCAUCAUACAUCCAAAUAGCAAACAGGUUGCUCAGAUUAAAAAUAUUCUCAGCAUGAUCUCCAUCACUGCUUGUUUGUUUAUUCUCUUUGCUGGAAAUAAGCAACCUUGAUGGAUUCAGUAAGAACUCUAUGAUCCUGUGAAAAGAACAAGAGAGAAUCUUAUGUUCCUUGCAUUCUUCCAAUACAGUUUCUUAAUCUGGCCAUCUAGAUAUACUAGAGUACAACUUCUAUCAUCCACAGCCAGCAAUUAUCACAAUACUUAGUCACUGAAUUUUGAAAGAAGGGGGGAAUCUGAAAACACUGCCGAGAGAGCUGAAAACAUGCAGCAAAGGGUAAGUUAUUUAAAUGUGAGUUAGGGAGAAGAAGUCCCAAAUCAGAUGCAGGUGUGGUGAAGACAAUCUGCAUGCAGUUCAGGGUUUUAGCCCUGUGUCAUGUAAAUGGGACAGAGAGAGCCUAAGGGGAAUUUUGGGGAAUUUGUCCAUGAAGACAAGCCCAUUCAGUGUUGCAUUUAUAAUGUACUAAUGUUUUCAAAUCGUUAUUGUUGCUAUGCUUUGAACAACAGCUUUAUAUCCAAACAUUAACAGUUAAUGGAAAUUAAUGAAAGUUAAUGAAAAUUACUUUGGCUUCUGACAAUUUCUGCCCAAUUUUCAUAAUUUAAAAGUUUAGCAAAAAAAAUCACAUUAGAAAACAUUAGUGGUAGCAAGCAAGAGAAGGUACUGCUGAGGCUGGGAAAUUACAUUCUUUGCUCAUGGAAAUUACACUUGUUGUGUCUUUUGCUCCCGGGAAUAUGGGGUUUAUAAAGCCCCAUGGUUCUUGGUACAAAAUAAGACUCUAGGCAUCAUUUAACCAAUGAAAGGCCUGGCAGUUCCGCUUAAGAUAAUUGUUUUUAUAUUGAUUCUACUUGGAGCAGUUCAAGAGAGAUGUUUGAAGAGCUGAACAUUCUUCCUUCCAGUAUCCUCUUUCCAGCAAUAUGUAUCCAGUAUCUGCUCAUCAAGCUGAACUUGGAAUCACAAGAAGUCAGGCUGAAUUUUUCAGUCAUUAUAACAACUCUAGGGGUGACUGUACUAUAUCCAAAGCAAGUUAAGGUGUGAUGACUAAUAAAGCUGACUAGUAUAUCCUUCUGAUAACCAUGAACUUUCUGAAAACCAUGGUUUCAGAAGAAAAUAAAAACAGGCUGGAUAAGUACAUAAGCAAAAUAUAACAACAGGCCUAACUUUCCCACAUUUUAGCACAUCUUAGACUUAGGCUAAAAUACUAUUGGUCUAAAGGCACAACCACAGAGACUAAAAGUAGCCUGCCUCUGGCCAAGCCAGCAGGAUUUGUGCUAUUAUGAUUUCAUUGAAGGUCAUUUGUGACUUUCUUAAAGGUCAGUUUUAUGUCCACAUAUACUUAGAGUGUCAGUGUAUACUCAGGAGACAGUGACAAAUCCCUGAAAAGCAGGCAUCACUGAAGUGGCACACACUACAUGGGCAUACUGGAAGGAGUCACACUGAGUGAUGAAUGACAAACAAAAUGGUUCAAAGCAAUCUGAAAAGAAGCUGAAUACAGGUGUGCUAAACUCUUGCAGAUGAAAGGAAGAGUUGAUUCUAGUUUUGCAUAGUGGAUCUGGCUGACCAUCUCCAGACUCAAAACAAUACAAAUACCAAGAUCUAGCAGUGUUUUGUGAAGCCUUCUCUGACUCCAGGGGAAUGAUCUCUCUCAGUGAUGUUGCCAGAUUGUUGUUUCCAGAUGUAAUGAUUAUUUUCUCUUAAGGAUGGAAUGCAAGCAGGACUAGGAAGAAGCUCUGUCUUGGAUCAAAUUCUAAUAUCAAAGCAAGAAUCCAGCCCUCAAUUUGGUAAGCUUCACCCAAGUUCCAUCCUGUGUUCCAGCUGUCCAACCAUAAAAUAUGUUGCUGAAUUUCAAGCACACAAAAUGCCAUAUAAGUCAGUUUUGUUUUAUUUUGUUUUGUUUCUGACUUUAUGUUUGAGAUAACCAAUAAAUAAAGGAGAAUUAUAGACAUUGCACCAAAACGCUGCACUGAAGAGUGCUCCUGUUACAGGUUUCAAUCAGCCAGUUAUUGAUUGGAGCUGUUUGUUUUUGGACAGCAACAAUUACUACAACAAUAACCUGUGAAGAGCAAUGAUGGAUCAGAUUAAACGACAAUUCAGUCCAAUUUUCUCUUGCAGUGAACAGUCUAUUGCCUAUAGGAAGCCUCUCAGAAAAAGAUGAAUUUGACUGUAGUCAUUGCACGUUUUGGAAUGCCAGAACCAAAGGAAAGCUGCCUGAGGCCUAAAGGCUGGUUCAGGAAAAGGUUGGUUCACACACUCUGUGAUGGGACUUUGCAGCUGUUUUGACCCCACAGAAGUGAGGCCAGUCUGUCCUUGAGGAUGAAACAUUGAUGCCAGAUUGGAAAAGGACCAUGGAAAGAUGUCUCAUUUUGUGCAGCUUGGCUAAUGAAGUAUAUAUGAAAAUUAAGACAACUUCACUUGAAAAUCCCCCCUACUCUCCUAUUAAAAAUACACUUCAAAAGUGAGAGCUUAUCGCUUUGCUCUCCUGAUUAUGAAAUAUUAUAGAACAAACAUAGCAGUCAAGAAAUGAUUUUUAACAUGUCUUGUGUUAAAAGAC